GAGCACGUAGGUGGGUUUGUAAGUCAGAUGUGAAAGCCUUCUGUUCAACGGUGGAAUUGCAUCUGAAACUGUGAGUCUUGAGUGUAGGAGGGGAGAAUGGAACUUCUGGUGGAGCGGUGAAAUGCGUAGAUAUCAGAAGGAACGCCGGCGGCGAAAGCGAUUCUCUGGCCUAUUACUGACACUCAGUGUGCGAAAGCUAGGGGAGCAAACGGGAUUAGAUACCCCGGUAGUCCUAGCCGUAAACGAUGGGCACUAAGUAGAGGGG
rnacentral:rRNA from 1 species